rnacentral:tRNA from 1 species
GGGUCGGUGGCAGAAUGGUUAUGCGUUAGAUUGUAAAUCUAUGGGUUUCCCAAUGUAGGUUCGAAUCCUAUCCGGCUCA